rnacentral:rRNA from 1 species
AUUGAACGCUGGCGGCAUGCUUUACACAUGCAAGUCGAACGGUAACAGGGUGCUUGCACCGCUGACGAGUGGCGAACGGGUGAGUAAUGCGUCGGAACGUGCCGAGUAGUGGGGGAUAACGCAGCGAAAGUUGUGCUAAUACCGCAUACGUACUGAGGUAGAAAGUGGGGGACCUUCGGGCCUCACGCUAUUCGAGCGGCCGACGUCUGAUUAGCUAGUAGGUGAGGUAAAGGCUAACCUAGGCGACGAUCAGUAGCGGGUCUGAGAGGAUGAUCCGCCACACUGGGACUGAGACACGGCCCAGACUCCUACGGGGGGCAGCAGUGGGGAAUUUUGGACAAUGGGCGAAAGCCUGAUCCAGCCAUGCCGCGUGUCUGAAGAAGGCCUUCGGGUUGUAAAGGACUUUUGUCAGGGAGGAAAUCCCUAGUGCUAAUAACACUGGGGGAUGACAGUACCUGAAGAAUAAGCACCGGCUAACUACGUGCCAGCCGCCGCCGCAG